rnacentral:rRNA from 1 species
CCUACGGGUGGCAGCAGUGAGGAAUAUUGGUCAAUGGGCGUAAGCCUGAACCAGCCAAGUCGCGUGAGGGAUGAAGGUUCUAUGGAUCGUAAACCUCUUUUAUAAGGGAAUAAAGCGCGGUACGUGUCCCGCUUUGUAUGUACCUUAUGAAUAAGGAUCGGCUAACUCCGUGCCAGCAGCCGCGGUAAUACGGAGGAUCCGGGCGUUAUCCGGAUUUAGUGGGUUUAAAGGGUGCGUAGGCGGCCUUUUAAGUCUGCGGUGAAAGUCUGUGGCUCAACCAGGGAAUUGCCGUUGAAACUGGGGGGCUUGAGUAUGUUUGAGGCAGGCGGAAUGCGUGGUGUAGCGGUGAAAUGCUUAGAUAUCACGCAGAACCCCGAUUGCGAAGGCAGCCUGCUGAGCCAUGACUGACGCUGAUGCACGAAAGCGUGGGGAUCAAACAGGAUUAGAUACCCGUGUAGUC